rnacentral:rRNA from 1 species
GAGUGGCGAACUGGUGAGUAACACGUGGGAAACCUGCCCAGAAGCGGGGGAUAACACCUGGAAACAGAUGCUAAUACCGCAUAACAACUUGGACCGCAUGGUCCGAGUUUGAAAGAUGGCUUCGGCUAUCACUUUUGGAUGGUCCCGCGGCGUAUUAGCUAGAUGGUGGGGUAACGGCUCACCAUGGCAAUGAUACGUAGCCGACCUGAGAGGGUAAUCGGCCACAUUGGGACUGAGACACGGCCCAAACUCCUACGGGAGGCAGCAGUAGGGAAUCUUCCACAAUGGACGAAAGUCUGAUGGAGCAACGCCGCGUGAGUGAAGAAGGGUUUCGGCUCGUAAAACUCUGUUGUUAA